rnacentral:rRNA from 1 species
AUUGAAAGAUGGUGGCAGGAAGAAAAAAGGCAAGUCGAGCGGAUGAAGGGAGCUUGCUCCGGGAUUCAGCGGCGGACGGGUGAGUAAUGCCUAGGAAUCUGCCUGGUAGUGGGGGAUAACGUCCGGAAACGGGCGCUAAUACCGCAUACGUCCUGAGGGAGAAAGUGGGGGAUCUUCGGACCUCACGCUAUCAGAUGAGCCUAGGUCGGAUUAGCUAGUUGGUGGGGUAAAGGCCUACCAAGGCGACGAUCCGUAACUGGUCUGAGAGGAUGAUCAGUCACACUGGAACUGAGACACGGUCCAGACUCCUACGGGAGGCAGCAGUGGGGAAUAUUGGACAAAGGGCGAAAGCCUGAUCCAGCCAUGCCGCGUGUGUGAAGAAGGUCUUCGGAUUGUAAAGCCCUUUCAGUUGGGAGGAAGGGCAGUAAGUUAAUACCUUGCUGUUUUGACGUUACCAACAGAAUAAGCACCGGCUCCCUUCGUC